AGAGUUUGAUCCUGGUUCAGGAUGGAACGCUGGCGGCGUGCUUAACACAUGCAAGUCGAACGAGGGUCCAACCUUCGGGUGAAGACCGAGUGGCGAACGGGUGAGUAACACGUGGGGAACCUGCCCUUCUCUCUGGGAUAACGUCGAGAAAUCGGUGCUAAUACCGGAUACUCCUUGCGGAUCGCAUGGUCUGCUCGGGAAAGCUCCGGCGGAGAGGGAUGGCCCCGCGGCCCAUUAGCUAGUUGGUGAGGUAAUGGCCCACCAAGGCGACGAUGGGUAGCCGAGCUGAGAGGCUGAUCGGCCACACUGGGACUGAGACACGGCCCAGACUCCUACGGGAGGCAGCAGUGGGGAAUUUUGCACAAUGGGCGAAAGCCUGAUGCAGCAACGCCGCGUGCGGGAUGAAGGCCCUCGGGUUGUAAACCGCUUUCAGCAGGGACGAAUAUGACGGUACCUGCAGAAGAAGCCCCGGCUAACUACGUGCCAGCAGCCGCGGUAAUAC
rnacentral:rRNA from 1 species